CGCGUCGUUUGAGAGAGAGUUAAGAGGACGUGAAAUCGGGGAGGUGGAAGCGGAUAGAGCCGACGUAUCUGGCCGGCAUUCAACCGUCUCGUUGGUGGCUCGCCUGUGAGUGGAAGCCGCUUCUGGUGCCCUCUCGGGUGGGAGUCGCCGACGAGCGGCGCAUUUACCGGUGGAGUGCGCUGAGGUGUGCGCCAUAGCGGAAUGAAGCGGCCGAUAGAGGACUCUCUCCGGAGGGGAACCUGUCGGUGUGGAUGACUGUUUAUGGCGCAUUCCUACAGGGUGGGGUGGCACUACCGAAUCACUCCCCCAUCACCACCACCCUCUAGUGCCGGUCACAUGUGUCACGGGCUAGUUGGAAGGUGGCUCGAUGGCGGAUGAUGCCCCCUCCCGAGUCUCGGGGUAAAAGUCGGUCAUCUCUCCGACCCGUCUUGAAACACGGACCAAGGAGUUUAGCCUGCACGCGAGUCGGCGGGUGGAAAACCCGUGGGCGUAAUGAAAGUGAAGCUCCCUGUCGAAGGGGUGAAAUGCGAUCCGAGCUCCCGCAAGGGAAUCGGCGUAGCAUAGCCCCGUCCCGAUCGCUUGUCCAUGGAGGCGCUGAAAGAGCGUGUGGGCUGACACCCGAAAGAUGGUGAACUAUGCCUGAGCAGGAUGAGGCCAGAGGAAACUCUGGUGAAAACCCCCAAAACGGUUCUGACGUGCAAAUCGAUCGUCUGACUUGGGUAUAGGGGCGAAAGACUAAUCGAACCAUCUAGAGUGGGGGCCCCCUUUCCAAAAACCGCC
rnacentral:rRNA from 1 species